rnacentral:misc_RNA from 1 species
UCUCCGUAGGUGAACCUGCGGAGGGAUCAUUACUGAGUGAGGGCCUCCGGUCCGACCUCCAACCCUUUGUGAACCAACACUGUUGCUUCGGGGGCGACCCUGCCGUUUCGACGGCGAGCGCCCCCGAAGGUCUCCCAACACUGCAUCUUUGCGUCGGAGUUUAAAACAAAUUAAACAAAACUUUCAACAACGGAUCUCUUGGUUCUGGCAUCGAUGAAGAACGCAGC